UAGGCGGUUUAUUAAGUCAGAUGUGAAAGCCCCGGGCUUAACCUGGGAACUGCAUUUGAAACUGGUAAACUAGAGUAUGGUAGAGGAAAGUGGAAUUUCUGGUGUAGCGGUGAAAUGCGUAGAUAUCAGAAGGAACAUCAAUGGCGAAGGCAGCUUUCUGGACCAAUACUGACGCUGAGGUACGAAAGCGUGGGUAGCAAACAGGAUUAGAUACCCUGGUAGUCCACGCCGUAAACGAUGAUAACUAGCCGUUGGGGGGAUUUACCCUUUAGUGGCGAAGCUAACGCGUUAAGUUAUCCGCCUGGGGAGUACGGCCGCAAGGUUAAAACUCAAAUGAAUUGACGG
rnacentral:rRNA from 1 species